rnacentral:rRNA from 1 species
CAGCAGCCGCGGUAAUACGUAUGUCACAAGCGUUAUCCGGAUUUAUUGGGCGUAAAGCGCGUCUAGGUGGUUAUGUAAGUCUGAUGUGAAAAUGCAGGGCUCAACUCUGUAUUGCGUUGGAAACUGUGUAACUAGAGUACUGGAGAGGUAAGCGGAACUACAAGUGUAGAGGUGAAAUUCGUAGAUAUUUGUAGGAAUGCCGAUGGGGAAGCCAGCUUACUGGACAGAUACUGACGCUAAAGCGCGAAAGCGUGGGUAGCAAACAGGAUUAGAUACCCCUGUAGUCCCUGUCUCUUAUACC